CACACCCCGAGCCCUGCCUGCGGGCCCAGCCCCCCCAUUUCCGGAGCCUGCACCCCGGACCCAGCGGGGGCCGAUCCCUGGGAAAGGCCUGGCUUCCUUUUCCUUCCUGUCCCUGCCCCACCUCCGCCGGGCUCCACAGCCGCCGGGAGUCCAGGGCCGAGACGGGAGGAGGGUACCCACCUGGUCGGUGUCACAUGCUGCUUCGGCCCCAGCGUCCCCUCCAGGUCCCGGCGCCGGCCGCAGUCCCCAGCGCCGUCCCCAGCGCAGGCCCGGCCGCCCCACCCGCGGCCCGCCCCUGGCCGCCCGACGGGAGGGAGGGAUCGGGUUCUCCUAGGAAGUUUCAGUAUGCAUUCUUAGAAACCAGAUAUACAAAGACAAGCUCUCUGCUUUCAAGAAGCUCUCAAUCUGAUCGAGGAGAGAAACAGGUAGCAAAUAAUGACAGCAGAGCGUGUCUCGGAUAUGUCUUUAUCAGGAGUAUGAAAACGGACUAAUACAGUAAAUUGGUACCAGUGGAGUGGGGCGCUACUGAAAAGAUACCUGAAAAUGUGGAAGUGACUUUGGAACUGGGUAACAGGCAGCGAUUGAAACAGUUUGGAGGGCUCAGAAGAAGACAAGAAAAUGUGGGAAAGUUUGGAACUUCCUAAAGACUUAUUGAAUGGCU
rnacentral:antisense_RNA from 1 species